rnacentral:misc_RNA from 1 species
UUUCCGUAGGUGAACCUGCGGAAGGAUCAUUCAUAAUAAAGUGUUUUAUGGCACUUUUUAAAAAUCCAUAUCCACCUUGUGUGCAAUGUUAGAUCUCGUCAAUCUUGGCGAGAUUUUUAUACACCAACUCAUUUUUUAACUAAUUUGUCUGAAAAAUAUUAUGAAUACUUAAUUCAAAAUACAACUUUCAACAACGGAUCUCUUGGCUCUC